rnacentral:rRNA from 1 species
UACGUAGGGGGCAAGCGUUGUCCGGAUUUACUGGGCGUAAAGAGCGUGUAGGCGGCCAAGCAGGUCCGUUGUGAAAACUGGAGGCUUAACCUCCAGACGUCGACGGAAACCGCGUGGCUAGAGUCCGGAAGAGGAGAGUGGAAUUCCUGGUGUAGCGGUGAAAUGCGCAGAUAUCAGGAAGAACACCAAUGGCGAAGGCAGCUCUCUGGGACGGUACUGACGCUGAGACGCGAAAGCGUGGGGAGCGGACAGG